rnacentral:misc_RNA from 1 species
GUAACUAAAGUUUCUUCAUUUUGUGGAGCUGUAAUCCUCUUGGCUAUUUCAACUACUAAUAUGGAGCUUCGGGACUUCGUUUGUAAAGAUUUGUUCCCUGCAACAAUACAAGCUCUGUCUCUGGAGUCAAAUGCUUUCAUCAGUGCUGAUUUAGUUGCGCUUUGUCGUGAAAUUUUCAUUUAUCUUGCUGAUAAACACCCAGCACCGCGACAGAUUUUACUCUCUCUCCCUUGCAUUACAUCCCAAGAUCUUCUCGCCUUUGAGGAAGCUUUGACCAAGACUGCUAGUCCUAAGGAGCAGAAACAGCACAUGAAGAGCUUCCUGCUGUUAGCAACCGGAAAC